GCGCAAAUGAUGGAAAAAUCACUAUUUGGGGGGGGGGGAAAUGACAUGAACAAAGGAACCACCAAUACGC